AUACGGAAGAUGCGAGCGUUAUCCGGAUCUAUUGGGUUUAAAGGGAGCGUAGGCGGACGCUUAAGCCUGCGGUCAAAUGUCAGCGCCCAACGCUGGCCUGCCGUGGGAACUGGGUGUCUUGAAUGUGCACAAGGAAGGUGGAAUUCGUGGUGUAGCGGUGAAAUGCUUAGAUAUCACGAAGAACUCCGAUUGCGAAGGCAGCCUUCUGGGGCAUGAUUGACGCUGAGGCUCGAAAGCGCGGGAAUCAAACAGGAUUAGAUACCCUGGUAGUCCGCGCCGUAAACGAUGAGUGCCCGCUUUUGGCGAUACAAUGUCAGAGGCUGAGCGAAAGCAUUAAGCACUCCACCUGGGGAGUACGCCGGCAACGGUGAAACUCAAAGGAAUUGACGGGG
rnacentral:rRNA from 1 species